GCCGGGCGCGGUGGCACGUGCCUGUAGUCCCAGGUUCUCGGGAGGCUGAGGUGGGAGGAUCGCUUGAGCCCAGGAGUUCUGGGCUGUAGUGUGCUAUGCCGAUUGGGUGUCUGCACUAAGUUCGGCAACAAUAUGGUGACCUCCCGGGAGCGGGGGACAACCAGGUUGCCUAAGGAGGGAUGAACCGGCCCAGGUCGGAAACGGAGCAGGUCAAAACUCCCGUGCUCAUAUACACCAUGGAAUAUUAUGCAGCAAUCAAAAACGAUGAGUUCGUGUCCUUU
rnacentral:SRP_RNA from 1 species